rnacentral:rRNA from 1 species
UACGGAGGGUGCAAGCGUUAUCCGGAUUCACUGGGUUUAAAGGGUGCGUAGGUGGGUCUGUAAGUCAGUGGUGAAAUCUCGGAGCUUAACUCCGAAACUGCAUUCGAUACUGCCGUGCUUGAGGACUGGAGAGGAGACUGGAAUUUACGGUGUAGCGGUGAAAUGCGUAGAUAUCUGGAGGAACACCGGUGGCGAAGGCGACAUCCUGGACCGGUAUUGACGCUGAGGCGCGAAAGCCAGGGGAGCAAACGGG